UACGUAGGGGGCAAGCGUUGUCCGGAUUUACUGGGCGUAAAGCGCGCGUAGAUGGAACGAUCAGUCCGGUCUGAAAGCCCCCGGCUCAACCGGGGAGGGUGGCUGGAAACUGUCGUUCUUGAGGGCGAGAGAGGAGGGUGGAAUUCCUGGUGUAGCGGUGAAAUGCGUAGAGAUCAGGAGGAACACCCGUGGCGAAGGCGGCCCUCUGGCUCGACCCUGACGCUGAGGCGCGAAAGCGUGGGGAGCGAACGGG
rnacentral:rRNA from 1 species